CCCCUAGAUGUUCUGGGCCGCACGCGCGCUACACUGAACAGUUCAACAAGUCUUAACCUUGGCCGAUAGGUCUGGGUAAUCUUUGAACGCUGUUCGUGAUUGGGAUAGACCUUUGCAAUUAUGGGUCUUCAACGAGGAAUUCCUAGUAAACGCAAGUCAUCAGCUUGCAUUGAUUACGUCCCUGCCCUUUGUACACACCGCCCGCCGCACCUACCGAUUGAAUGGUCCGGUGAAAUUCUCGGACGCGGACUUGCGAUGUUAAUUCGGAGCUUGACUGUGAAAGUUAAUUAAACCUUACCAUUUAGAGGAAGGUGAAGUCGUAACA
rnacentral:rRNA from 1 species